AUUGAACGCUGGCGGCAGGCCUAACACAUGCAAGUCGAGCGGAUGAGGGGAGCUUGCUCCUGGAUUCAGCGGCGGACGGGUGAGUAAUGCCUAGGAAUCUGCCUGGUAGUGGGGGAUAACGUCCGGAAACGGGCGCUAAUACCGCAUACGUCCUGAGGGAGAAAGUGGGGGAUCUUCGGACCUCACGCUAUCAGAUGAGCCUAGGUCGGAUUAGCUAGUUGGUGGGGUAAAGGCCUACCAAGGCGACGAUCCGUAACUGGCCUGAGAGGAUGAUCAGUCACACUGGAACUGAGACGCGGUCCAGACUCCUACGGGAGGCAGCAGUGGGGAAUAUUGGACAAUGGGCGAAAGCCUGAUACUGCCAGGCCGCGUGUGUGGAGAAGGUCUUCGGAUUGUAAAGCACUUUGAGUUGGGAGGAAGGGCAGUAAGUUAAUACCUUGCUGUUUUGACGUUACCAACAGAAUAAGCACCGGCUAACUUCGUG
rnacentral:rRNA from 1 species